rnacentral:rRNA from 1 species
GUCGCGGCCCUUUUCAGCUUGUUGGUGGGGUAAUGGCCUACCAAGGCGACGACGGGUAGCCGGCCUGAGAGGGCGACCGGCCACACUGGGACUGAGACACGGCCCAGACUCCUACGGGAGGCAGCAGUGGGGAAUAUUGCACAAUGGGCGAAAGCCUGAUGCAGCGACGCCGCGUGAGGGAUGACGGCCUUCGGGUUGUAAACCUCUUUCAGCAGGGAAGAAGCGCAAGUGACGGUACCUGCAGAAGAAGCGCCGGCUAACUACGUGCCAGCAGCCGCGGUAAUACGUAGGGCGCAAGCGUUGUCCGGAAUUAUUGGGCGUAAAGAGCUCGUAGGCGGCUUGUCACGUCGGAUGUGAAAGCCCGGGGCUUAACCCCGGGUCUGCAUUCGAUACGGGCUAGCUAGAGUGUGGUAGGGGAGAUCGGAAUUCCUGGUGUAGCGGUGAAAUGCGCAGAUAUCAGGAGGAACACCGGUGGCGAAGGCGGAUCUCUGGGCCAUUACUGACGCUGAGGAGCGAAAGCGUGGGGAGCGAACAGGAUUAGAUACCCUGGUAGUCCACGCCGUAAACGUUGGGAACUAGGUGUUGGCGACAUUCCACGUCGUCGGUGCCGCAGCUAACGCAUUAAGUUCCCCGCCUGGGGAAGUACGGAA